rnacentral:rRNA from 1 species
GACGAACGCUGGCGGCGUGCUUAACACAUGCAAGUCGAACGGUAAGGCCCUUCGGGGUACACGAGUGGCGAACGGGUGAGUAACACGUGGGUGAUCUGCCCUGCACUUCGGGAUAAGCCUGGGAAACUGGGUCUAAUACCGGAUAGGACUCCGGACUGCAUGGUCUGGGGUGGAAAGCUUUUGCGGUGUGGGAUGGGCCCGCGGCCUAUCAGCUUGUUGGUGGGGUGAUGGCCGACCAAGGCGACGACGGGUAGCCGGCCUGAGAGGGUGACCGGCCACACUGGGACUGAGAUACGGCCCAGACUCCUACGGGAGGCAGCAGUGGGGAAUAUUGCACAAUGGGCGCAAGCCUGAUGCAGCGACGCCGCGUGAGGGAUGACGGCCUUCGGGUUGUAAACCUCUUUCAGCAUCGACGAAGCGAAAGUGACGGUGGGUGCAGAAGAAGGACCGGCCAACUACGUGCCAGCCGCCGCGGUAA